UCGGACAUCAGGAGGUUAGUGCAAUGGCAUAAGCCAGCUUGACUGCGAGCGUGACGGCGCGAGCAGGUGCGAAAGCAGGUCAUAGUGAUCCGGUGGUUCUGAAUGGAAGGGCCAUCGCUCAACGGAUAAAAGGUACUCCGGGGAUAACAGGCUGAUACCGCCCAAGAGUUCAUAUCGACGGCGGUGUUUGGCACCUCGAUGUCGGCUCAUCACAUCCUGGGGCUGAAGUAGGUCCCAAGGGUAUGGCUGUUCGCCAUUUAAAGUGGUACGCGAGCUGGGUUUAGAACGUCGUGAGACAGUUCGGUCCCUAUCUGCCGUGGGCGCUGGAGAACUGAGGGGGGCUGCUCCUAGUACGAGAGGACCGGAGUGGACGCAUCACUGGUGUUCGGGUUGUCAUGCCAAUGGCACUGCCCGGUAGCUAAAUGCGGAAGAGAUAAGUGCUGAAAGCAUCUAAGCACGAAACUUGCCCCGAGAUGAGUUCUCCCUGAGACUACAAGUCUCCUGAAGGAACGUUGAAGACGACGACGUUGAUAGGCCGGGUGUGUAAGCGCAGCGAUGCGUUGAGCUAACCGGUACUAAUGAACCGUGAGGCUUAACCUUACAACGCCGAAG
rnacentral:rRNA from 2 species